GGAACAGGGAACCAAGGACUUGGGCCAUUUUCCACUGCUGUCCCAGACGGUCAGCAGGGGCUGGAUAGGGAAUGGAACUACUUGGGCUCAAACCAGUGCACAUGUUGUACACCAACACUGCACGUGUUACCGUGCUGUGCCGCAGUGCCUCAGGAGUGUUUACAGUUAGUGUAGUGAGGGCUCUCAAGGAUGGGCAUGCUGUUUGUAUUGCACUUUGGCUAGGAAGAAGUUGUUACCAAAGCGGAGGAGUGGGGUACUGCUCCAGGACCUGGCAUGGCUCAGCUGGCCUGUCGGCAGGGCAGGGGGGGUCGUUAAGGACCCUUCAGAGUCCUGGGUUUCCGGGGUAGACUCACUUUCAGGCUAGAGGAAGAAUGUGGCCCAGUGGGGAGUCAGCCCUGGCUUCUGCUCACCUGAGAUUUCUCUUGGAGGUGGGUGUUGGCAGCCCGACCUGAGUCGGCAGCAGGGCUCUGGACUGAGAGACUGGGGAUGAGUGACCUCUUCGGGCUGGAGCCGUUUUCCGUAAGCCACGACCACGAGUGACUUCCUUUGCCCCACUCGGUGUUUGCCUUGUCUCCUGUCUCCAGCAGGUUUGUGACAGUAGGCAUGCCAAAGCGAGUGACGCUGCCUCUCCUUUACAGCUAACUGAAUGAGAGGAGUGAGGACCUGGGCUAGGGAGCACUCCCCCUGCGUUUCCUCUGGCCCUCCCUUGGCUGCAGGGAAGGGCCUGCUCCUGGGUGUUCAGCAGCUGGAGUGGAGAGGGUGCAGGGCCUUAGAGCGUGGACAAACCAUUUCAGGUGCACAUAAACAGGCUGCCCCAACUGUAUGUGUUAACUGGAAGGAAGAAGACUAAUGAAUUAUUAGUUUGACUCUUUGGAUAGGGUAGUGAGAGCUGGCUUCACCUUUCCCCAUGAAUUUGUCAACGAUGAUUUCAAAACCUGAAUAAAAAGAAUCCCAUUUCUUUUUCAGAUUUUAUAUUCUAAAGUGACAGGAGAUGCUUUUCAUUAGAUCUGACACCUACAUACCCCUCUGAAAAGUUUUAUGUACUUGUAGCAUUUAUUUAUUUACCUGUGGUUUCCUCAGAAUAGAAGGAGAUCUGUUGACGUUCAGUGUUCUUGGCUGCCGAGAAAGCAGGGCCACGGGAGUGUUGAGGGCGUGUGAGCUGUGUGAGUCCUGUUGACACGUCUGGGAGAGCACAGCGCUGGUGUUGCUUAGUGAUCCUGUUUGGCACCUGUUCUUAAGGCUUACACUUGGUAAGCAGUACUUCUAACCUGGUGAAUGUCCCAGAAUUACAAUUUCAUGCACCAGAACUGCACUUCUUUUUAAAUCAAGUAUUUAGCAAGGCCCACCUCUGCAUGACAGCCGUCCUUUGCCAUACAUUGUCUUGUCUGAUCCCGUCUGACUCAAGCCUGUUGAGUUCCGUGAGAUUUGUGUUUCACUGACAAAUGUGUUACUGCAUUUAUUUCAAUUUUGCCCUCUGCAUCCCAGAUACAAAACUUCAUUUCUUACAGGAGAAAUACACACCCCACAUUUUAAACCUAGAAGCAGAGAAUAUUUAAUAGUGAAUGUAAAAAGACUAUGUUUUCUUGAGGUAUUUCUAGCUUCGGUUUUAUUUGCUACUGUGCUUGGAACUAUAAGGAUGCUGAAGUUGAAGACUGGGUCUAAGAGUGGUGAGUGAUGUGGCAGGCGUUGUGGCAUAGUGAGUUAAACUGUGGAUUG